rnacentral:lncRNA from 10 species
GAGAUUCUCCUGCCUCAGCCUCCCAAGUAGCUGGGAUUAUAGGCACGUACCACCAUGCCUGACUAAUUUUUAAUAUUUUUAGUAGAGAUGGGGUUUCACCAUGUUGGCCAGGCUUGUCUCCAACUCCUGACCUCAGUUGAUCCACCCAACUCGGCCUUCCAAAGGGCUGGAAUUACAGGUGUGAGCCACCACACCCAGGCCCCAUCCCUUAUUGUCAUCUUGAUCGGCCUCAGCAUUAUUGACAUUUUGGUCUGGAUAAUUCUUUGUUGUGGCAGCUGUCCUAUGCGUUGUAGGAUGUUUAGCAGCAUUUCUGGCCUUGGGCCAUUAGACACCAUAAUAUCCCCCAGUUGUGACAACCAGAUAUGUCUGUAGACAUAGCCAGAUGCCCCCUGUAGGGCACAUUCACCCCACGUUUAGAGCCACUGCUCUAGAUUGUUAUAGCCUCUAACUGGUUUUCUGACUCCUGUCUCCCCAGUCAAGCCUUUGCACUCAGCCUCCAGAGUUAUCAUCUUAAAAAUCAAAGCUGCCAUUCCUGGGCUUAUAGGCCUUUCCUGGCUCCCUGCUGCCUGCAGGUGAUGGUUUCCAAACCUUAGCCUGAAUCAGAAUCACCUGGGGGAAAAGACAAUUCUGUGGAGACAGAAAGUUGGUUAGUGGUUGCCCAGAGCUGGGCAGAGACUGGGGAGUGAUUGCAAAUGGGCCCAAAUGAUCUUUUAGGGUAAUGGAGACUGUUCUAAAAUUGGAUUGUGAUGAUGAUUGCAUAAUUGUAAAUUUACUAAAAAUAAUUGAAUUGCAUACCCAAAAGUACUUUUAGACCAGAAUUUAUGGUUUGUACAUUAUAAACCUGUUAAAAAAUCAGCUGGAAGGCUUGUUGAAACAGUGUCAGGCCCCACUCAGUUUCUGAUUCACUGGAUCUAGGGAGGUCCUGAGAAUUUCUAUUUCUAUUACAGUGCCAGGUGGUGCCCCUAUAGCUGGUUCCAGAAUCUCACCUUGAGAGUCACUGGCCUCCAGGAUUAAGUCUCAGCUCAGCUUCACAGUAUAGUGCUCAAGACCUUUUCUGGUCUGACCUCACCCAUGAGGUGUCAGUUCUCCUGGACCAGCUCUAAGCUGGCUUGCACAGAGUGUCAAUCUGAGCUCCUUGCCCUCUUGAACUGCAGUUUUAGGGUUUUGAUAUCUUGAGUGACUUUUUUCACCCAAGGCACCAAACAAGUGGCAAACUCCUCCCUGCUUCUCAUGGCUCGAGGAAAGAGCUUCUCCAGUCUUCCCCGCACUGGCUGAGCACGGAGAGUGAUGGGAAGGAGGGGAUGGUGGGAGAGGGAGGGCAAGGGGGCCUCAGAGCCUUGUACCCUGUCCAGGCUGCUAGACUUAUGCGUGACAUUUUGUACCACAUAGAUCAUGAAUAAACUGGAACCUUUCCAAGU